rnacentral:sRNA from 1 species
UUGACAGCACUAGAGAUUCAAGUAUCUUAGUCAUUUGCAGAAUGAACAUGGCACAAGUAAAGGCAGUGCAGAUUUCUGCACACUGCCCUGCCAAUGUACCUCAACUGUGACUAGGAAGAACCACCUCUGGGAAGUUAAGUCUCUAUGCCCAUUAAAUCCUUGGCACCU